rnacentral:tRNA from 2 species
GCUGGGAUGGUGGAACUGGUAUACACGCAAGACUUAAAAUUUUGUGGGCGCAAGCCCAUGCGGGUUCGACUCCCGCUCCCAGCACCA